CUUCCCUUUGUUUGGGGUUUCUUCUUCCCUUUGGGGUGUCUUGCGUGGUGGCUAACAGGUGUGUCGUCCGACAAUGAUUAGACACAGAUGUGAGAGUGAUUUAUGGCGAACAGUGUCUUCUCCUGAGGCGAUUACACACAGAUCUGAGAGUGAAUUAACCAAAGAUUGAUCCUUUAUUUCAAAUUACAAGAGGUUGGUCUCUGGCCGUGGAACGAGAUCCCCGCCCAUGGGUGGUGGCUUCCCGCCGGAGGUGGAUGAGGAGGUUACAUGGCACAAGACUACUGUCGUUGCCAACGAGAUCAAGGAAGAAAGAGGGUGAGCUGACUACGUGCCGACGGUCUGGUCAUCGCCACCUUACUUGCAAGCAGGGAUUUGCGAUGCUGCAAUUUAUCGUACUAAAAGCUCCAGCCUCAAUCGCAAAGCCUCUUCGAGGCAUACUCUGGAAGAUGCAACAGGGGAGGCAGUGCUCACUUCUGUGUCUCUGUCAAAGCAACGAUGGUUCUUUCUGGCAUGGGAGUGCGAUGGCAAAUCAUGAGGGCUCAGCGCAAAGCUGGCUGCAUAAAGAUUCUUCCAUGUAAUGAUGCACCAUGUGGUGUUCUUGAUGAUGAUGAUGAUGGAUCUGGAUCUUAUAGAUUCAGGAUUGCUUGUCAACAGAAAAAGAAAGGUUAAGACUUGUUAAAAUGAUGCUUCCAUUGAUUAUAUAGUUCAUGUUUUUGCUCCAA